GGGGAAUCUUGCGCAAUGGGCGAAAGCCUGACGCAGCAACGCCGCGUGAGCGAAGACGGCCUUCGGGUUGUAAAGCUCUGUCAGGAGGGACGAAGCCGCUCGGGUGAACAGCCCAGGGGGUGACGGUACCUCCACAGGAAGCCCCGGCUAACUACGUGCCAGCAGCCGCGGUAAUACGUAGGGGGCGAGCGUUGUCCGGAAUCAUUGGGCGUAAAGCGCGUGUAGGCGGCCGACCAAGUCCGGUGUGAAAGCUCAGGGCUCAACCCUGAGUCUGCACUGGAAACUGGCCGGCUUGAGUCCGGAAGAGGAGACUGGAAUUCCUGGUGUAGCGGUGAAAUGCGCAGAUAUCAGGAAGAACACCGGUGGCGAAGGCGGGUCUCUGGGACGGUACUGACGCUGAGACGCGAAAGCGUGGGGAGCAAAC
rnacentral:rRNA from 1 species